GAUGAACGCUGGCGGCGUGCCUAAUACAUGCAAGUCGAGCGAACGGACGAGAAGCUUGCUUCUCUGAUGUUAGCGGCGGACGGGUGAGUAACACGUGGAUAACCUACCUAUAAGACUGGGAUAACUUCGGGAAACCGGAGCUAAUACCGGAUAAUAUUUUGAACCGCAUGGUUCAAAAGUGAAAGACGGUCUUGCUGUCACUUAUAGAUGGAUCCGCGCUGCAUUAGCUAGUUGGUAAGGUAACGGCUUACCAAGGCAACGAUGCAUAGCCGACCUGAGAGGGUGAUCGGCCACACUGGAACUGAGACACGGUCCAGACUCCUACGGGAGGCAGCAGUAGGGAAUCUUCCGCAAUGGGCGAAAGCCUGACGGAGCAACGCCGCGUGAGUGAUGAAGGUCUUCGGAUCGUAAAACUCUGUUAUUAGGGAAGAACAUAUGUGUAAGUAACUGUGCACAUCUUGACGGUACCUAAUCAGAAAGCCACGGCUAACUACGUGCCAGCAGCCGCGGUAAUACGUAGGUGGCAAGCGUUAUCCGGAAUUAUUGGGCGUAAAGCGCGCGAGGCGGUUUUUUAAGUCUGAUGUGAAAGCCCACGGCUCAACCGUGGAGGGUCAUUGGAAACUGGAAAACUUGAGUGCAGAAGAGGAAAGUGGAAUUCCAUGCGUAGCGGUGAAAUGCGCAGAGAUAUGGAGGAACACCAGUGGCGAAGGCGACUUUCUGGUCUGUAACUGACGCUGAUGUGCGAAAGCGUGGGGAUCAAACAGGAUUAGAUACCCUGGUAGUCCACGCCGUAAACGAUGAGUGCUAAGUGUUAGGGGGUUUCCGCCCCUUAGUGCUGCAGCUAACGCAUUAAGCACUCCGCCUGGGGAGUACGACCGCAAGGUUGAAACUCAAAGGAAUUGACGGGGACCCGCACAAGCGGUGGAGCAUGUGGUUUAAUUCGAAGCAACGCGAAGAACCUUACCAAAUCUUGACAUCCUUUGACAACUCUAGAGAUAGAGCCUUCCCCUUCGGGGGACAAAGUGACAGGUGGUGCAUGGUUGUCGUCAGCUCGUGUCGUGAGAUGUUGGGUUAAGUCCCGCAACGAGCGCAACCCUUAAGCUUAGUUGCCAUCAUUAAGUUGGGCACUCUAAGUUGACUGCCGGUGACAAACCGGAGGAAGGUGGGGAUGACGUCAAAUCAUCAUGCCCCUUAUGAUUUGGGCUACACACGUGCUACAAUGGACAAUACAAAGGGCAGCGAAACCGCGAGGUCAAGCAAAUCCCAUAAAGUUGUUCUCAGUUCGGAUUGUAGUCUGCAACUCGACUACAUGAAGCUGGAAUCGCUAGUAAUCGUAGAUCAGCAUGCUACGGUGAAUACGUUCCCGGGUCU
rnacentral:rRNA from 1 species